AUUGCAUUUAAUCGAGAAAUAUAAUUGUCCAGCUGGUUCCCUGGUUGAUCUGCCUCAACUAAUAGAUUCAUCUCCUCUCGAACAAUGUCCAUUGUUUCCUCCACUUGUUUCCGAUGCGCAUUCACAAGAUCUUCCUCAUCCUUUAAGAGAGCAUUCAGAUCAUCAUCCGAGUUUGAAUACUUUGCCUCUGUUCUAGGUGGCUCCUUCCACUUUGUCUGAGCAUUUG
rnacentral:misc_RNA from 1 species